rnacentral:rRNA from 2 species
CUCAGGACGAACGCUGGCGGCGUGCCUAAUACAUGCAAGUCGAGCGAAUGGAUGGGAGCUUGCUCCCUGAAGUUAGCGGCGGACGGGUGAGUAACACGUGGGCAACCUGCCUGUAAGACUGGGAUAACUUCGGGAAACCGGAGCUAAUACCGGAUACGUUCUUUCCUCGCAUGAGGAAAGAUGGAAAGACGGUUUCGGCUGUCACUUACAGAUGGGCCCGCGGCGCAUUAGCUAGUUGGUGAGGUAAUGGCUCACCAAGGCCACGAUGCGUAGCCGACCUGAGAGGGUGAUCGGCCACACUGGGACUGAGACACGGCCCAGACUCCUACGGGAGGCAGCAGUAGGGAAUCUUCCGCAAUGGACGAAAGUCUGACGGAGCAACGCCGCGUGAGCGAAGAAGGCCUUCGGGUCGUAAAGCUCUGUUGUUAGGGAAGAAUAAGUGCCAGAGUAACUGCUGGCACCUUGACGGUACCUAACCAGAAAGCCACGGCUAACUACGUGCCAGCAGCCGCGGUAAUACGUAGGUGGCAAGCGUUGUCCGGAAUUAUUGGGCGUAAAGCGCGCGCAGGUGGUUCCUUAAGUCUGAUGUGAAAGCCCACGGCUCAACCGUGGAGGGUCAUUGGAAACUGGGGGACUUGAGUGCAGAAGAGGAAAGUGGAAUUCCAAGUGUAGCGGUGAAAUGCGUAGAGAUUUGGAGGAACACCAGUGGCGAAGGCGACUUUCUGGUCUGUAACGACACUGAGGCGCGAA